rnacentral:sRNA from 1 species
GUCACAGUUUAGACAGCGAAGAGUAAAAUCGUGUGUGAUAGAAACAAAACUAUAAAUAUGGCAGAUGCAAGUAAUUUGGACGUUGCUCAAAAUUGUUGUACGCCGCAGUACACGUUACCAGCAAAUGACUGCGGAUGAAAGGCGUGCAGCUGAUAGUAGAUUUGCUGAUUUUAUGGAUGAAGAAAUUGAUAUUGCUGCAAUUGAUAAUUAUGAAGUUGUGGAUGAUGAAGAUCGCACAUACCAACAUGCUGCAAGAGUCAGAUGCCGAAACUGAAGGAUACGUCGAGCUAAAUGAAGAUACUGAUGACAACGAUGAUGAAGAGGAAGAAAAUGAUGGUCAGGAAACGAAUGACAGUUACUAUAUUGACUAUUAUAAACAAAUUUAAAAAUUAUUGUUGUUGAGCGUGUACUUCUUGUCCCCUGCCCUGUGCGCAAGUGUUGCAGCGAUGUAAAAGUGUGCUAUGUUCUCCGCAAACAGCGUUGCCGCAGCCGAAGCAGUAUGCCCGCGUUUUCCGCUGUCGCCCGUACUCAGAACGGCAAAGCCUACAUGACGGUCUACUUGACCUAGCCGCAAACGACGGUACAUUGCUUUCCAUCGGUCUUGAUGUUUUCUUACCUUGACAUCGAAUGCUUCCAUCGCAUUGCGUAUCCUUGGAUAGGAGGUUAUAUGGUUGUUUAGAGCACGUUCUUCGAUA